CAAGCACCUGGGUCGUGCCGAUUGUAAAAGGGAGUCACGGCGGGUUGGGAAAGGGAGUGGAGGGGGGGCAGCUGGGGUUGGUAGCGCUGCUGGGGAGAUGCCAAAAAACCAAAACAAAACACGUUUUCAUUUUGUCUGCACCAGCCUGGGCGCAGGCGAGCGCGGGAGAGAGGGAGGGAGAGGGAGGCGCACGCCAACAGAAAGCCGCCGUGCUCAGACGCGGGCCUGCGGCCACGUCCCUCCGCGGCCGCCCCAGCAGCCGUUCCCGCUCCCUCGUCCCCCUCUCCCUGCCCACCCGGCUUCGCCUGCCAAGUCCGAGUUGGCACGGCUCCCCCGGCUGCGCCGAACAAAGCCGUCACCCAUCCCCGAGCCGGCGCUGACAGUAAGCAAAGUGACAGGCGCAUCUUCCGCAUGUUAAUCCAAACGGCAAGAAGGCGAGCGAGCGGCGGAGGCCCCCCCGUGCCAUGCACACACACCCCCCCCGCCACCGAGCCACCCACCCCACCCUUGGCACCCGACAGCCCCGGUGGCCUCGUGCGGGGAUGGCGAGGCCCCCGCCGGCGGGAGCACCGAAGGCUCCUCGUCGGCGAGGCUUAAAUCGAGCCGAAGCCCCGCUCGGCGGGCAAACGAGGCCACUCGGCAUCUGCUGUACCUGUUCCCGCUGCCUUCAUCUCGCCUUGGAACCGUGACAAGAGCGCACUCGCCUCUGGUGGGCUCUCAAAGCCGCGGGUCUGUAACCCUUUGCAGGAAGUUGGCACCGAUCCCAGGAAUGAUUUGCCUACGUGGAGCUCAGCGCUGCGGGAGAACAGAGCAAACAGCCUUAUCGAGGGCAGCUGUGCCACAGGGCACUUCCUCAUGCGUGGCUGCAAGAUGGGGCCCUCCAUGGCUGCGGGGGAGGGCUGGCAGCCCUUGGCCUUCCCACUGACCAGACACCAGGAAGACACCAGGCACCAUCCAGGCAUCGGGAGGGCUCUCUGGGAUGUUCCCUCCCGGCUCCACAGCAGGAGAGUGGCAUGGACAGGAGGGGGUUUGGACUGAACUGAAGGGUCUUCAGCAGGACAGCUCUGCAGGGGAAAGGAGAGGAUGGAACAUUGGCUCUGAGCUCAGCUGCACUUCCCUUGACACAAAGGCUCAUCUUGCUGCUUUCCAGAUCCUGCCAGACUCGAGCAUCCAUGCCCAGCGGAGAGACAGACCAGCCUUGACCUGAGAUUCCCUCUCCUGGCUGCUGUCGCUGCCUCCCUUCUCCCCCGGGCAGCUGGGAGCAGAUGAGGCCAAAGUCCCAGCAAUCUCAGUUCUCCACUGGAGGCUGAUAAACGGUGUGGGCACAGAACAGCAGCAAUCCCCACCCAGGCUGGCUUUGUGCAGGAGAGUCAAUAUUUAAACCAGAGGUUGUUUCCUGGGCAGACAGGGGAGCCCCAGCGGGACAAACCCCCGGCUCCAUCCCGGGCACCAAACCUCCUCCUCCACCCCUUCAUUUGUUCUCCCAACCACAUGUUCCAUCCUGCAUCCCCCCAUUCCUGUGGGAUCCCCCCCUUCAGCUGGGACACCUGAGCACCAGCUGCAGGGCCAGGCACUGACUAAUGAGUAGCAAUUUAAGGGAGAGGGAUGCCCAGCCAGGGUUUGGGUUGUCUCCUUGCCUGCUCCUGGUGCAGACAUUUGUCCUUGUGGUGGGGCUCCUCAAAUGAAAUUUGUCCUGGGGCCCCUCAAAUGAAGCAUGGGACAAGAAGAAUCAGGGAUAGAAAGAGGAGGUGAGAAAAUAUUCAAUCAUCCUAAGAAUGGCAGCCCCUUGCUUCAAAGUAAGGCAGUGCAGUGAAAGCUUUGAAACCUGGUUUUCAUUUAAAUUGAGCAAAAACUACUGUCAACUAUUGGGUUUUCAGCCAAGUUUGUGGGCCCUGAUGAACUCGGCAGAAAUUACUGGCAGGAUGCAUCCCCUGGUGCAGCUUUAGGUAAAUCCCUUAGGUAAAUUCCUUAGGUAAACUCCUCAAAGGACAGGAAAUAGCACUUUUCCCUGCAGUGGCUGCAGAGGCUGUCAGGAAGUUUGACAGGCAUGUGAGCAGCAGAAGGUGGCUUAAAUUUGGAGGGCAAGGGUUCCUGAGCAGGUGCUGUGUGACCUGGCAGGUGCAAUGGCCUGUGUGGGAGCAGGUCAUAAAACAAGGUGAUUAAAGGGAAGGAUGAAGCUGUGAGGGGGAAGAUGGAAUGGCUGAGCCCACCUCACCAGUCUGAGAGAGGCAAAGGGUCUCCAUCACCCCCUUCCAGAAGACCUCAGGGUCAAUUUUAACUCCAAAAACCUAAUUGCACAUAUGUUGCUUCAAGCACCCAAGCCCUCUGCUGCCUCCACCCUCACUCGAGGUGCACCCACUGCAGUUUGCUCAGCCUAAAUGUGCCCACCUUCCAUGGAGGUGAGGAAAAUCAGGGGGAAUCUGAGUUUUAAACAGCUGGUUUAGCCCCUGAUUUGUAGAAAAGACCAAAGGAAGUGCCUGUCUUAAACUGAAACCUUCCCUGAGGGAGCACAUUAUACAGGGGAAAAUACAAUCACCAAAAACACCCCAAAAAAACCAAACCACCCAAUAGUUGUUUUAUAACUGUAUUUUGGAGCAUAAUUAAAUCCUCUUUGAAAUCA